rnacentral:lncRNA from 1 species
UUUAAAACAAUUUAUAAAAAUAAACCGGAUUCGCAAAUUCCAUAGGCGAAAUUCACGUAUCUCGUGCACGAAAGGCCUACACAAGGCUAUUUUGAUAAUUUUAUUUUCAGUUAUGACUUAUAUAUUGGACUAAUAAUAUUUGAAUCGUUAUAUUAUUGCUCAAUUAACUUAUAUAAUUGAAAAUGCUUAACUUUUGGGUAAAAUAAAAUGUAAAUUACAUAUAAUUAAUUUAGGAAAAUUUAAAUUGUAUAUAGUUUAUAAGCAUUAUAUAUCAUAAAAUUUUAAUAAUUAGAUGUAUCCUUGCCGAAUCGCACCCUAUAAUUUUUAAAAAUCCGUAUCCCCGUACUCGUAUCGUAUCGCCCCCGCA